GUAAAGGCAGUGAUGAGGAGUAGUAGCCUUUCCCUUCCCCUUCAGAGAGCCGGUGGUUGGUGCGAACCGGUGAGGAAGCAAGGUGAACUCGCCUUUGAGCCGCUGCAGUGAAACACGUGUUCUACUUCGGUACCGCGUGCUAGCUGUGGCCGUCACCCGCGUAAAGGGUAAACGAGGUCCGCAUGAUGCGGAUGAAUGAGGGUGGUACCGCGGAAGCUUUUAUGAAAGCCUUCGCCCCUUGC
rnacentral:ncRNA from 1 species